UUAAAAUUGGUGGGCUUCUCUCGUCAGUAUGCAGACUGCCGCCAUUGGGUGAGUACUUGAUUGAAAUGAUGGGAAUGAAAAUUAAAACGUAACUUUUAUCCACAAUGCAUUUAAUAUAUGAGUUGCUUCUAUGGCACAUCGGUUGUUUAUGUAAGUGAAAGGGCAAUGCUAUUAUUGAUUUACAGGCCAUGCUAGUUUCAGAGGGCUCUUACGGUUCGUCGUCAUGUUAGAUCUACAUAAAUAUAAUACUAAUAGUUUAAAUAGUUGUGAUUUUCCGAUUUCAUUCAUAUUUAUUUUUGUGGGCGGCUGAUGACUAACGAUUUUUUACUUAAUUUACAGUUGCUGUAAUCAUAAAGGUAGAAUCUGUUUUUUAAAUUUCAUGUUAUAAGUAUAAAGAUCUUAUUUGCUACAGGCCUAGAAUUUAGUAAUUACUGUUUUCCAUUUAAAAUUUCUGCAAUUUUGAGGUUGCGUAACUUUGAAGUAAUGGAUGAAGAUUUUUGAAGUAGACGACAUUUGGAGCUAUGUAGUUGUUCGUUUCAGCUGCGAUUGCAGAUUAUUUUUGUUGGGAGUGAAGUGUUUUUUCACAAAUGAAAUAAUAUAAACAUUCUUCGCGUACUCAACACAGGACUAUUCCUUGUAUCUACAGUUAUAUAAAUUGUUUAAUUGAAAGAAUUUGUUUGU